rnacentral:rRNA from 1 species
GAUGAACGCUGGCGGCGUGCCUAAUACAUGCAAGUCGAGCGAACGGACGAGAAGCUUGCUUCUCUGAUGUUAGCGGCGGACGGGUGAGUAACACGUGGAUAACCUACCUAUAAGACUGGGAUAACUUCGGGAAACCGGAGCUAAUACCGGAUAAUAUUUUGAACCGCAUGGUUCAAAAGUGAAAGACGGUCUUGCUGUCACUUAUAGAUGGAUCCGCGCUGCAUUAGCUAGUUGGUAAGGUAACGGCUUACCAAGGCAACGAUGCAUAGCCGACCUGAGAGGGUGAUCGGCCACACUGGAACUGAGACACGGUCCAGACUCCUACGGGAGGCAGCAGUAGGGAAUCUUCCGCAAUGGGCGAAAGCCUGACGGAGCAACGCCGCGUGAGUGAUGUAGGUCUUCGGAUCGUAAAACUCUGUUAUUAGGGAGGAACAUAUGUGUAAGUAACUGUGCACAUCUUGACGGUACCUAAUCAGAAAGCCACGGCUAACUACGUG